rnacentral:tRNA from 1 species
GUGGCGUAGUUGGUAACGCACGUGCUUUGGGAGCACGAGAUCGUCGGUUCGAGUCCGACC